rnacentral:rRNA from 1 species
CGUAGUGGCGCACGGGUGCGUAACGCGUGGGAAUCUACCCUUGGGUUCGGAAUAACAGUUAGAAAUGACUGCUAAUACCGGAUGAUGACUUCGGUCCAAAGAUUUAUCGCCCAGGGAUGAGCCCGCGUAGGAUUAGCUAGUUGGUGAGGUAAAGGCUCACCAAGGCGACGAUCCUUAGCUGGUCUGAGAGGAUGAUCAGCCACACUGGGACUGAGACACGGCCCAG